rnacentral:misc_RNA from 1 species
GAACGCACAUUGCGCCCUUUGGUAUUCCAAAGGGCAUGCCUGUUCGAGCGUCAUUUGUACCCUCAAGCUUUGCUUGGUGUUGGGCGUCUUUUGUCUCCAGUUCGCUGGAGACUCGCCUUAAAGUCAUUGGCAGCCGGCCUACUGGUUUCGGAGCGCAGCACAAGUCGCGCUCUUUGCCAGCCAAGGUCAGCGUCCAGCAAGCCUUUUUUUCAACCUUUGACCUCGGAUCAGGUAGGGAUACCCGCUGAACUUAAG